UACGAAGGGGGCUAGCGUUGCUCGGAAUCACUGGGCGUAAAGCGCACGUAGGCGGAUUGCUAAGUCAGGGGUGAAAUCCUGGAGCUCAACUCCAGAACUGCCUUUGAUACUGGCGACCUUGAGUCCGGGAGAGGUGAGUGGAACUGCGAGUGUAGAGGUGAAAUUCGUAGAUAUUCGCAAGAACACCAGUGGCGAAGGCGGCUCACUGGCCCCGAUACUGACGCUGAGGCGCGAAAAGCGUGGGGGAGCAAACAGG
rnacentral:rRNA from 1 species